rnacentral:lncRNA from 1 species
CUUUAACCCUUUUUCCCUUUUCAGAGUGUGUCUGCGUGUUGCGUCGGACGGUCGCAUCUAUUUCCCCGUCUGAGUUUGUUCUUUUCCUAUCCGUGUGUUUGCUUGUGUGUAAAAUGUGUUGGUGCUGUGCUUGUUUGCGUGUGUGUAGGAUAGUGUUAGACCCAUUAGGGGCAUCAUUGGCUUAGGUUAAGCGUAGUUAGUGUAGGGCCAAUGGUGAAAGCCACCAGAUUGACUGUGCCGGUGUCGUUGGCCAGCUAUUUGGUGCCUUUUAUUGAUUGUGUUCCAGCAACAAGUAUGCCGAACUGAUUGCCCGUGACAAUACCAAGGGCUCAAGAUUUAAAAGGAAUGAUAAUUAACAGUUCUGUGCAGGAUUUCGUCAGUGAGGGUGUCACAUAUCUUGAUGUAGAUUCUGGCAAGAGAAAAACAGAAGACAGUUACGCCAAUGGGUUUGAGGAAGGAACGCAGAAAUUUUUAAGAUGAUAUAAUGCAGAUUCAUAAGUUUUUUAAAUACCCGGUUGCUUUAUUUUCAACCGAUUCCGCCUCCCUUCGGUACAUUAUCUAUCUAGCUAUCUUUCAUGAGGCAAUGAGGCUAGAGUAUGAACGAUGAAAAUUAGGAAAAGCUUCGAUGACGACAAUAAAUAUCAACAAAAAUUGUCCUUCGAUCGUCAGUAUCUCUAGGAUUCUUCCAAAAUUCUUAUGGAGAGGGGAAAAGCCUCCGUCAAAUCUCAGGUUCACAUAAAUUUUGAAUUCUCCAUAAGUUCUUGUUGGUUCUUGUUCUUACGCAAUGUUUAAUUAUACAAAUAUGUUGAGCUUCUCUCGAUAAAGUAAACUUAGCAGAUUAUUAACUAGGAAAACUUUUGGAACGCUAGGCCAUAAAAGGAAAGAGUGUAGACUUCCGGUUUUGUAAAAAAAAUGUAGCACUGAUAAAUAAUAUUCUGAUAAUUCCAGCUUUUGAUCUAACUAAUUUGGGGCAAUUUCAGAAAAAUAGAUUUUGGGAGUACCUAAAUCGCAAAAUCGAACGCCUAAAAUGCGAAACCCUACGCGAAACGUGCAGUAUUUUUCUAAUAACAUUUUAAAACUGUUUUAAAUUCUAAAUUGUGAUUGUUUCGUGGUUUUACCUCUUUCAACUGUGCAUUUGUUUCAUCUUCCGACAUAAACAAUGGGUCGGUUUCUGCCUCACUCUCAGACCCUUCGACAUUCUCGUUUGGAGUGUUGGGCGUGGCCUCAAACCCUACUAUAGCUUCCUGCGGAGUGGCCGCAUCCUUUGGCUUUUCCGUCGGGGACAAAUGUGGCGGAUCAUCUGACGCCUUAUUGUGGGAUUCUUCCUCGCACCCGGACCCUACGGCAUUCUCGUUUGGAGUGUUGGGCAUGGCCUGAACAUAUCCAAUCACUUCCUGUGGAGUGGCUGCAUGCUGUGGCUUUUCCGUCAAGCAAAAUGUGGCGGCUCAUUUGACGCCUCGAUUGGUCGUUUUCUUCCUCGCUCCUGGAUCCUUCGGAAUCCUCUUCGGAGUGUUAGGCGUGGCCUCAACAUCUCAAGUCGCCUCACCCUUGAUUACCAGUCUUACCUAUAUUGCAAAAUGUGUGACUACUCCUCCUCCUUCCUACUGCCGGACAGCAAAGACAACGCCCAAACAAUCAAACUACUCGAGAAAGGUGUGCGCUACAAGAAUGACCGCUACAAAUUGGAUAUGGGAUAUGCCGAAAGAUACGGUAGUAGCACCAGGUCGAUUCUGGAAAGAGCCUAAAUAAAAAUGUUGUCAAGACCAAGGCCACAGAGACAACAAUAGGAGAUUUCGUAAACCAAAGUCAUGCAAAAAAAACUGGAAGAAGACGAACUCGAAGACCCUGUCAGCCGUUCGUGGUACCUACCUCACCACGCAUUCUUCAACCCAAGGGAGCCUGGAAAAUUUCGAGUGGUUUUUCUGACGAUGCUGCUUCCUUUCGUGUCAUUUCAUUGAAUAAAUGCUCGUUGACCGGCCCCGAUCUGCUAACACCUCUCAUCUAGAUUCUUCUCAGGCUCCAGGAGCGAAGCCAUCUGCCAUCACCGGAGACAUUAAGGGUUCUAAUCUUUGAAGCCACCUUCUUCCCCGCCGUCUACUCGUACGUCCUCCGAAGGGUAAAUGAAGAGAAGUUCCCUGGGCUGACGAAAAAGGCCGAGAAGAAUUUUUAUAUGGACAACUAUAUUUCGACACUGAAGAAGAAAUGGUGGAAUCUUAGAGUGAAAUUCAAGAAGGAUUAUGAACGGCAGAUUUUUUCUGGAUCUAAAAGAUGUCAACGUCAAAAACUCUCAACACUAUCCCCAACGAUCUUAGGUCCGACCUAAUCUAAACUUGAACCUUUAUGCCCUUCUCGUGAAAAAGACGCUGGGGAUCAUGUUAAACUGGCAAGAGGGUCAUUUUUUAUUUAAGGAUUUUGGACCACCAUUAUCGCCUCGACAUAAGAAUUCUCCAAGUCAUCUGUCGUCUGAAAUCCGAAUGGGACGACACCCUGCCAAAAGCGGUAAUUCCGCAAUGGUAGUCAUACUAAUCUGCUUUAUUUGGAAUCCCUUAACAUCCCAAGAUGCAUACAGCCCUUUUCUCCGACGUCCAUCCAGCUACACGCCUUCGUUGAUGCAAGUGGCCCAUUUCUUUGAGUGUACAUACAACUGUUAAACACACCGGACUGUCUUGCAUCGUUAAAUGAAGAAGGUGAAGGUAAGAAAUGAAAAAAUUUCAAAUUUGCUACAACUUGCUAAAAAGCAAUGUGGAAAAGGAUUUGUUUUUGGUUUUUCAAUAUCUUUCCAGUUUGUGAGCAAAAAAAUGUAACCAAAAAUGUAAAUGUAUCCCUUUGGGCUUUGGCCAAUCAAUCCAGCAUGAUUAAACUGAAAAAAAUGCGAUACAUUCUAUGUGGGGAUGUAUACAAUUACUGAUAAUACACAAGCUUCGAUAAUUUUAA